GGCGUCUGGUACCUGCUGAGGAAGCACUGGAUUGCCAACAACCUUUUUGGCCUGGCCUUCUCCCUUAAUGGAGUAGAGCUCCUGCACCUCAACAAUGUCAGCACUGGCUGCAUCCUGCUGGGUGGACUCUUCAUCUACGAUGUCUUCUGGGUAUUUGGCACCAAUGUGAUGGUGACAGUGGCCAAGUCCUUCGAGGCACCAAUAAAAUUGGUGUUUCCCCAGGAUCUGCUGGAGAAAGGCCUCGAAGCAAACAACUUUGCCAUGCUGGGACUUGGAGAUGUCGUCAUUCCAGGGAUCUUCAUUGCCUUGCUGCUGCGCUUUGACAUCAGCUUGAAGAAGAAUACCCACACCUACUUCUACACCAGCUUUGCAGCCUACAUCUUUGGCCUGGGCCUUACCAUCUUCAUCAUGCACAUCUUCAAGCAUGCUCAGCCUGCCCUCCUAUACCUGGUCCCCGCCUGCAUCGGUUUUCCUGUCCUGGUGGCGCUGGCCAAGGGAGAAGUGACAGAGAUGUUCAGUUAAAAAUUCCAGAGCUGUAACAGAGAGCACCCUCAUGCUCCAGCUACCCCACAGAGGCCAGCAGUAUUACACAGACAUUCAGACACCUGUGCACUGACGUGUGUAUACUUUUUCUUGCACAGAUGGUGGCAUUCUUGGAGCAUUCUGCACCUUGGGUUUCUACGGUAUUUCUUAGAGGUGUUUCCACAGCAGCACAUACACUUCUAGAGCAUGCUUGUUCUUUUGCACAGCGGCCUGAUGUGCCUUUGCUUAGGUGCAUCUUUUCUUUUUUCAUUCUCCAAAUAUCAACUUCUUUCCAUAAAAUCUGGAAGUGCAAAAAUAGGUAAAAACAAGACGGUUCUG
rnacentral:sRNA from 1 species